AUUUUAAUAAAAGCUAAGUAUUCAAAUUUUAAAUUAAGAUUUUUAUAAGGUUUAAUAAUAGUACUUAUGUACAUAUACGUGUAUGUAUGUGUAUGCCCUUAAAAAUUAAUGUAUUUCCAUUAUAUUGUAAGGUAAAUUUACUAAGUACAUAAAAUCGUUGUUUUGAUACGCAUACGAACUUUAACGUACUGGAAAUUAUGAAUAAGCUAUCAAAUAUUUAUAGUGCGAAUUUUCCUACUUAUUUUCUAGCUAAUGACUUUAUUUUUUAGUUGUAAAAGCUAUUUAAAAAAUGCGUUUUUGAAAAAAAAAUACAACAAAUGCAUGCAUAUAUUUAUUUAUUAGUAUUUAUUACAUAUCCAGCUAAGAAAAGUACUCAUCAAGCACAUGCUCUUAUGAUAUUAUGGCUGAUUUCUGACAACUGCUUACAUACCUUCAUUCACAAAUAUGCGCCUAUAUUAUCGGUCUGUGCGCUGCGCGAAAGACCUUUUAUAAUGUUUUAUACAAUAGUAUGUAUAUAGUAUAUACUAUGUUCUUUUAUUUAUUUUCUGGUAAUAAUACUCUUGUUGCGUUACAAUGGCCUGUCAAUCGCUACUUUUAUACCAAUAAAAAUUAACGAAAAAAUA